rnacentral:rRNA from 1 species
UACGUAGGGUGCAAGCGUUAAUCGGAAUUACUGGGCGUAAAGCGUGCGCAGGCGGUUGUGCAAGACAGAUGUGAAAUCCCCGGGCUUAACCUGGGAACUGCAUUUGUGACUGCACAGCUGGAGUGCGGCAGAGGGGGAUGGAAUUCCGCGUGUAGCAGUGAAAUGCGUAGAUAUGCGGAGGAACACCGAUGGCGAAGGCAAUCCCCUGGGCCUGCACUGACGCUCAUGCACGAAAGCGUGGGGAGCAAACAGGA